UACGUAGGCAGCGAGCGUUGUUCGGAUUUACUGGGCGUAAAGGGUGUGUAGGCGGUUGUUUAAGUUUGGUGUGAAAUCUCCCGGCUCAACUGGGAGGGUGCGCCGAAUACUGAAUGACUUCGAGUGCGGGAGAGGAGAGUGGAAUUCCUGGUGUAGCGGUGAAAUGCGUAGAUAUCAGGAGGAACACCGGUGGUGUAGACGGCUCUCUGGACCGUAACUGACGCUCAGGCACGAAAGCGUGGGGAGCAAACAGG
rnacentral:rRNA from 1 species